CAUUACGUAGUACGCGCCCGUGGAUUCUUGCAAGUCACGCAGUUUGUGAUAGCGCGUCGCUAGCACGACGGCGGCGCAGGGAUGCGCGCGGAGUUGCGUCCGCGUGCCCCUUCGAUAGACGAUGCGGUUGCGGGCGGUAUUUUGUUUUAUUAUUUUAUUUGUUACAUACUGCAGCCCUCUGAUAUAGCGCUACGGCAGGGGGGAAGAAUUAUACAUUCGUAUAGUCGGUAUCGUAUAAUCCUGAGUGCGAUCAUUUUCCUUCGGGUUUCUCGCGUUUCUCUCUCUCUCUCUCUUUAUUUCUUUUUUUUUUAAAGUCUUGUAGAACAGCAGUUGUGCCGAAUCGUUCAUCUCGGCGAUAACGGCCGUUGCUGUCCAAUGGCGACGGGCGGUGACGUAUACGGCGCACGAAGGAAAGGCGCCUGCAGGCACAGCCGCGCAUGCGUCAACGGCUGAGAAUCGCGCUUAAAUUUGGCUGUAAGAAGCGGCCACCGGGAGUCCCGCUCGUCAUACUGCGUUUCUACGCCGCCCGCGUCAGCUGAACCUCUGCAUCUUGCCGUAUAGUACAUGCUCUGGCAGCCGCCACUGCCGGUGUUAGGCGGUGUCUACGCCCCUUCACCGAACCCGACACAGCCAUGGGUUCCGCCGCUGGCUCCUGCUGUAAGGCGUCCUUCGAAGCUUUCAAGGUCACGCCUGCUCCACUUAUGGACCUGGACUUCUUUCCUGGACUUUCUGCAAGUGCGGUUGCGGGACUCUCUACCGCUCCGGGCUUCUUCCACGGCCCGUUGGAGCUCCCGGAAUACGUAUGCCACGCACGGCGGCAAUUCCGUCCGUUCUCACGCACGAGCUGUCGCGCCUGACGCCAACGACGCCUUGAGCUGUUGCUGCCGAUAAGCUUCGAGUCUCGUUUUCCGCGGUAUUUUCUUUUGUGCGCGUGUUCCCAUGGACCGAGGGUCAACGAAGCAACGGUCGGCGCCAACUACCUUAGGAGCUCUCCAAGCGUCGGUCAAGCUCCUGCAACAAAGUGACCGUGGCUCUACCCUGAGGAACAAAGGAGCAACUGUCGUCGCUGCGAGUCUUCGGCAUCUAACCCACGAGGUGGGACAGUGUGUGUAUAGCUUGUGAGGGCGGCUCGGCUAUUAACUUCAUCAAAAAAUUGAUUGGCAAUAUUGGCAAAAUAGGUGCAGUUAACUGUGGUGCUUCAUUGGGCACGAGCUUUCCUAGGACGGCCGCAGCCACGUCGGGUCGUCGACGUGACGGAAUCGGAGAGGACAUGGUGGGGCGAUUGUAGCUUCAGGCUGAGCUAACACUAGGCAGGUAGCUGGCGCUGCGCGUAGGCCACAGCUGGCAGGGGUCCUCUCUCGUUUGCGACACGGACGUCGGCCCGUUCCGAGUGCCGUUGCUUCCCGGCCGACAUUUCGCGUCCACGCGCGCGAAAAGGGGCGCGAAAUGUUGAACCGCGGAAGUAACUGGCAUCCGGAAUUGUUGUCAGGGUGUUUAACCAGUGGCGUAUUGCUUCCAGAGCGUCACUGAAGAAUGGACGUUGCCUUCGGUCCGCAGCGCGGCGCGUUGUGGCCAAAGUAUGUGGUGACACUUUUUUUUCCCUCUCCAUUCUUGAUGCCACGCUGUGUUUUUGUCGCUCGACGCGCGGACCGUCAUGUUUGACGACUUUAUCGACCACGCCUCGCGCGCUGACGCUUGUCAUGGUGAGUACCUACUUUCUGGUUGUAUUCCUUAUUUCAAGAGUUGCCCCUUCAGUUUCAGGUAAGCAACCCAGGCGUUCGCGUCUGGCGCAGUCCAGCAACGUCCCCUGGCGUGUCCCCGACGUAUGAUGUUCCGCGGCUCACCCCCUGUGUUCUUCAGCCUCAUAGCCACUGGUUUCCUGGCGAAUGAAGAAGCCUGCACUUCCCGCCCUGCAGGACAUCGACUGCGCCCUCUCGCAACGGAUUUUCCUGUGCCCUGCAAUGUCUCAGAUGGACGGCGCUGCGCGGCUCACCUUCUGUGCACUUCAGCUCCAGCCUCGCAGCCACUGCUUUCCUGGCGAAUGAAGAAGCCUGCACUACCCGCCCUGCAGGACAUCGACUGCGCCCUCUCGCAACGGAUUUUCCUGUGCCCUGCAAUGUCCCAGAUGGACGGCGCUGCGCGGCUCACCUUCUGUGCACUUCGGCUCCAGCCUCGCAGCCACUGCUUUCCUGGCGAAUGAAGCCUGCACUACCCGCCCUGCAGGACAUCGACUGCGCCCUCUCGCAACGGAUUUUCCUGUGCCCUGCAAUGUCCCAGAUGGACGGCGCUGCGCGGCUCACCUUCUGUGCACUUCGGCUCCAGCCUCGCAGCCACUGCUUUCCUGGCGAAUGAAGCCUGCACUACCCGCCCUGCAGUACAUCGACUGCGCGUAACCUCUCGCAACGGAUUUUCCUGUGCCCUGCCGUGUCCCAGAUGGACGACGUUACGCCGCUCACAUUCUGUGCACUUCAGCUCCAGCGUCGCAGCCACUACUUUCCUGGCGAAUGAAGCCUGCACUACCCGCCCUGCAGUAAGUGAGACCAUAAACGUGCCCCCUUCACCUGCCCCCCGUCAAGAUCUGACGUCUGCGCAGUAGGCGAUGACAUCUAGUGCUGGCCCUACUACGGCAGGCCUUGCUUUUGUGGCUGUUCAUCACACUGCUACGUCCAACGACGUUCAGCUGCAGCAAUAGACCUUCCCCACGUGCUCCGUGCUGCCUUGAGGGUGGUGCACUACUACGGAGUGAUGACUCGAACAGCGACCUCGACAUCCCUGCAAGUUCUUUCCGCCCUGCAGCUGCUUCACGGCCGCUCGAUGAAGACGCAAAUUGAGAGUUCGUGGCUGUUUGACAAGUGCGUCAAUUACCGCUAUCUUGCUGGCCCAUGUGUGGUACGCUGAUCAGUCUAGCAUUGGGUUGUUCGGGGGGGAUUCUGGCUCGUGCACGUUAAUUCAUAUCAUGUGCUCUCGUAAUGGUACCCUGAUGCUGGUUAGUGUUGCGAAGUAGCGCGCGCGUAUGUGUGCGUAUGAGCAUGCGUGUGCGAGUACGUGUUGCUGCAUGUGUGUUGUCUGUUGUACGCGCGUGCUACUUCUCCUAUUCCAUCUUGUAGUUGGCUUCAUUUUAGUUCGGGUGUGUUCUCAUUUCUUCCAUGCAGUUUGUAGUGGCUGACCUCGUUGAAUCGGUUAAUUCCUUCACAAAGCUCGUUGAUGGUUCCGCAGUGAUGGUCGCGAGUGUUCUCCAAAACGCUUCCAAAUUUGUCGCUGGGCAUUCCCCUUACUUGAAGGGUGUCCAGUGGUCCACUCGUAGAUUUGUCCAGGGCCCUUGUCAAAUUACUUUCCACUCGACGGGAUCUCUGUUGGUAGCUUUUCCUUGUCCACUUCUUUGUCAAGUGAUUCAUCAUGGCUAAUACGACACAUCAGCGUACCAUUACAAGUACAUGGGGUGAAUUAAAGGCAAAGCAUCUACGUUAGCUAGUGACGGUUAAAACUACGUGAGCUUAUCCUUUAUCUGUUGCUGGCAUGGCACCAUGCUCAUUUUAAGAACCUGUCUGCUGUAAUUAAUCACGUGAGCGGUAAAGCUGCGUACCACUCCACAGCGAAGCAAAGCAGCUCCUGAAUCUCCCUUUAGCAACAUUGGACAUUCAUAAGAUAGCACCACCACAGAUGCCUGCGGUGUUAGGUCUUCGGCAGACUGUUUCAUCACCUGUCUUUUUGGGCUUGAGUGUUCACUGCCCUGUGCAAAUUUAACUGCUUGCAUUCAGUUGUUGUACUUCUCUAUAACUUGUAUUUUCUGAACCAAGUUUCUUGGAACUCGAUAAAGUAGCUAAAGUAUUUUUUUACAUAGCACUAUUUUCCCAUGCGCAGCAUUGUACAGUUGUGACAGAUUUGACUUUGUACUGCAUCUUCUUGUCCACACUUCGGUGUUCACCGGUGUUAGAUGCCAACUGAAAUAAAAUUUUAGACUUAUUUCCAG